AACGAACGCUGGCGGCAUGCCUAACACAUGCAAGUCGAACGAGACCUUCGGGUCUAGUGGCGCACGGGUGCGUAACGCGUGGGAACCUGCCCUUAGGUUCGGAAUAACUGUCGGAAAGGGGUGCUAAUACCGGAUAAUGUCUUCGGACCAAAGAUUUAUCGCCUUUGGAUGGGCCCGCGUUGGAUUAGCUAGUUGGUAGGGUAAAAGCCUACCAAGGCGACGAUCCAUAGCUGGUCUGAGAGGAUGAUCAGCCACACUGGGACUGAGACACGGCCCAGACUCCUACGGGAGGCAGCAGUGGGGAAUAUUGGACAAUGGGCGAAAGCCUGAUCCAGCAAUGCCGCGUGAGUGAUGAAGGCCUUAGGGUUGUAAAGCUCUUUUACCCGGGAUGAUAAUGACAGUACCGGGAGAAUAAGCUCCGGCUAACUCCGUG
rnacentral:rRNA from 1 species